rnacentral:rRNA from 1 species
UGAUGCAGCGACGCCGCGUGAGGGAUGACGGCCUUCGGGUUGUAAACCUCUUUCGCCAGGGACGAAGCGCAAGUGACGGUACCUGGAUAAGAAGCACCGGCUAACUACGUGCCAGCAGCCGCGGUAAUACA